CAGUAGCCGCGGGAAUACGUAGGGUGCAAGCGUUAAUCGGAAUUACUGGGCGUAAAGCGUGCGCAGGCGGUUUGUUAAGACAGAUGUGAAAUCCCCGGGCUCAACCUGGGAACUGCAUUUGUGACUGGCAAGCUAGAGUAUGGCAGAGGGGGGUGGAAUUCCGCGUGUAGCAGUGAAAUGCGUAGAUAUGCGGAGGAACACCGAUGGCGAAGGCAGCCCCCUGGGCCAAUACUGACGCUCAUGCACGAAAGCGUGGGGAGCAAACAGGAUUAGAUACCCGGGUAGUCCCUGUCUCUUAUAA
rnacentral:rRNA from 1 species